rnacentral:lncRNA from 10 species
CUCAUUUGCUUCCAUCCUGUGAACCUCUCAGUGUGUUUCAGAACACCAGGGUCUGAACAGAGAAGCUUCAGAAUACUUUCUCCGACUAGAGAACUUUUUUAUGGUGGGAGGAAAAAAUGUUGCCAGUCCCACUUCACAGACACCUGGAAUUCAUGAAGUCUGAGGACUUCUUUCAUUUUACUUUCAACUAAAAGCUCUAGCACGAAACAGCAAAGGCUCACAGAACUAAAGAUCAGGAGGUGGCCCUGUGAGAGGGUGUUCAGCCUGGAUCCCUGGUGAAACUCCAUCAUUGAGCAGGUCUGUGAUAGCCCUUGUGGUCUGCUUUCUGCAGAUAAUACUCAUAGACUAUGCUGCAUAAAUUCUCAGAUUAUUCAAAGAUGAACAAACAGUUCAAAUGGGCAGUUUUAUGUGAGUGUUUCACUCUCAACCCUUUCCUUUUUUCAGUAUGUCUCCCUCCUUUUUUCCUCUCAAGCAUAUCUACUUCAGAAAGCGUGGAAAGAAAAGAGCCUGGUGGGAAAAGUCUAUCAAGUGAUAGUGACGUGCCCUUAUGGAAAAAAUUCUGGGGUAAGCAGAAUUGGGGUUUUACUCUUAAGCUAACAUGAGAUGAGAUUACUCUAUCCUAACAAGAUUUAAGCAUCUUGUUUUUCUAAAUGUUCGGUCAUUUGUGUUAAAACAGAGGAAAAUAUGACAUCUAACCUUUUUUUCCUGAGAAAAUAAUCACUGUCCUCCAUGCUUUGCCAACAACAAUCCUUUUUCCUCCCAUUUAUUGUAAGAGCUACAGUAUCUGCAGUUUGGCAGAAUCACCACCCUCUCUGGGGUGUUUGAUUUCGCCUUUCGUAUUUGAGCUCUUGGUGUGUGCGUGUAUGUGUAUGUGGGUGUGUAUGUGUGUGGGUAUGAAUGUGGGUGCAUGUCUGUGUGUAUGUGUGUGCUGUCUGUGUAUUUGUAUUGAGGUAAGGACACUCUCUGAGAUGUAAGAAAGCACUACAACUGUUUAUAGGGAAUGAGUUCUUUAUUUUUAUUCCCCAAGACGUUUUAUAAU